rnacentral:misc_RNA from 1 species
GAAAUGCGAUAAGUAAUGUGAAUUGCAGAAUUCAGUGAAUCAUCGAAUCUUUGAACGCACCUUGCGCUCCUUGGUAUUCCUUGGAGCAUGCCUGUUUGAGUAUCAUGAAAUCUUCAAAGUAAAGCUUUUGUUAACUCAAUUGGUUUCUACUUUGGUAUUGGAGGUCUUUGCAGCUUCACACCUGCUCCUCUUUGUUCAUUAGCUGGAUCUCAGUGUUAUGCUUGGUUCCACUCGGCGUGAUAAGUUAUCUAUCGCUGAGGACACUGUAAAAGGUGGCCAAGGUAAAUGCAGAUGAACCGCUUCUAAUAGUCCAUUGACUUGGACAAUACUUUUAUGAUCUGAUCUCAAAUCAGGUAGGACUACCCGCUGAACUUAAGC